ACGAACGCUGGCGGCGUGCCUAAUACAUGCAAGUAGAACGCUGAAGAGAGGAGCUUGCUCUUCUUGGAUGAGUUGCGAACGGGUGAGUAACGCGUAGGUAACCUGCCUUGUAGCGGGGGAUAACUAUUGGAAACGAUAGCUAAUACCGCAUAACAAUGGAUGACACAUGUCAUUUAUUUGAAAGGGGCAAUUGUUCCACUACAAGAUGGACCUGCGUUGUAUUAGCUAGUAGGUGAGGUAAUGGCUCACCUAGGCGACGAUACAUAGCCGACCUGAGAGGGUGAUCGGCCACACUGGGACUGAGACACGGCCCAGACUCCUACGGGAGGCAGCAGUAGGGAAUCUUCGGCAAUGGGGGCAACCCUGACCGAGCAACGCCGCGUGAGUGAAGAAGGUUUUCGGAUCGUAAAGCUCUGUUGUAAGUCAAGAACGGGUGUGAGAGUGGAAAGUUCACACUGUGACGGUAGCUUACCAGAAAGGGACGGCUAACUACGUGCCAGCAGCCGCGGUAAUACGUAGGUCCCGAGCGUUGUCCGGAUUUAUUGGGCGUAAAGCGAGCGCAGGCGGUUUGAUAAGUCUGAAGUUAAAGGCUGUGGCUCAACCAUAGUUCGCUUUGGAAACUGUCAAACUUGAGUGCAGAAGGGGAGAGUGGAAUUCCAUGUGUAGCGGUGAAAUGCGUAGAUAUAUGGAGGAACACCGGUGGCGAAAGCGGCUCUCUGGUCUGUAACUGACGCUGAGGCUCGAAAGCGUGGGGAGCGAACAGGAUUAGAUACCCUGGUAGUCCACGCCGUAAACGAUGAGUGCUAGGUGUUGGAUCCUUUCCGGGAUUCAGUGCCGCAGCUAACGCAUUAAGCACUCCGCCUGGGGAGUACGACCGCAAGGUUGAAACUCAAAGGAAUUGACGGGGGCCCGCACAAGCGGUGGAGCAUGUGGUUUAAUUCGAAGCAACGCGAAGAACCUUACCAGGUCUUGACAUCCCGAUGCUAUUUCUAGAGAUAGAAAGUUACUUCGGUACAUCGGUGACAGGUGGUGCAUGGUUGUCGUCAGCUCGUGUCGUGAGAUGUUGGGUUAAGUCCCGCAACGAGCGCAACCCCUAUUGUUAGUUGCCAUCAUUGAGUUGGGCACUCUAGCGAGACUGCCGGUAAUAAACCGGAGGAAGGUGGGGAUGACGUCAAAUCAUCAUGCCCCUUAUGACCUGGGCUACACACGUGCUACAAUGGUUGGUACAACGAGUUGCGAGUCGGUGACGGCGAGCUAAUCUCUUAAAGCCAAUCUCAGUUCGGAUUGUAGGCUGCAACUCGCCUACAUGAAGUCGGAAUCGCUAGUAAUCGCGGAUCAGCACGCCGCGGUGAAUACGUUCCCGGGCCUUGUACACACCGCCCGUCACACCACGAGAGUUUGUAACACCCGAAGUCGGUGAGGUAACCUUUUGGAGCCAGCCGCCUAAGGUGGGACAGAUGAUUGGGGUG
rnacentral:rRNA from 1 species